ensembl:lncRNA
UUCCUGAUUGAGACAAUAGACAAAUGUUUCAAAUGGCUAAUGUUUUACCUGCUGUUUAUCUGCGCUGAGUCAGUGAGGACAGUUUGCAUGCGGGUGAGGUGUACGUGGUUGAUACGUGGUCGAAGGGUUGACAUUUAGAGAGGUUGGUGCUGUGGUUUCAAAGCGACGCGUAGCAGUUAGAGUAAGGAGGAGGUGUGUGUGAGGAACAGGGGAGGAGGAGGAGGGAACACACACAGAAAGAAAGAGACAGAAAGAGAGAAAGAAAGACGAUAACAAGCGUGUCCUGGCAUGGGUUUUUCCCCCCAGGGUCGUCUGUGCUUUUACACUCAUCUUGGUAGUUUCACCCCCACCCACAAAUGACAAGAACAGCGGCAUUCAUUAUCGUUUUAAUAUAUCGUCAUCGUUUUAAUACGUCAACAGGCAGCAUUCAUUAUCGUUUUAAUAUAUCGUCAUCGUCUUAAUACGUCAACAGGCAGCAUUCAUUAAAGGUUUUAAUACGUCAACAGCAUUCAUUAUCGUUUUAAUAUAUCGUCAUCGUCUUAAUACGUCAACAGCAUUCAUUAAGGGUUUUAAUACGUCAACAGUCAGCAUUCAUUAAGGGUUUUAAUACGUCAGUCAGCAUUCAUUAAGGGUUUUAAUAAGUCAGUCAGCAUUCAUUAAGGGUUUUAAUACGUCAACAGUCUAAAACUCCAACACAAGGCCUCAUGAGGAUACGGUGUGUAGAUGGCCGCAGACUUCUAUUGGACUAGAGUUAAAUUAGAGCUAUAUUAGCGUUAUAGUAACGUUACACUAGAGUUCCAUCCUACUAUUACAUAUGUACAGAUAUCCACAAGGUGUUUAUACACUAAACAAGUUCCCAGUCUCAAAGAGGAACAUGUAAAUGUUCAAGAAAAGGGUUGAUUUCGGACUGGACUGAGAGCCAGCCUGGUGCGUAAGUGAGCUGCUAUCACACAGAGGUCUGACCAAAUCAGUGGCAUCAGCCAGACGGGAGUCCCAGACAGAGCACAGGUAGUGGAAAUAAACGGGGAGAGAACGGGAGCCUGUGGCCAGGGA